rnacentral:rRNA from 1 species
GACAAACGCUGGCGGCGUGCCUAAAACAUGCAAGUCGAACGAUCCUUCGGGAUAGUGGCGGACGGCUGAGUAACACGUAGGUAACCUACCCUUGAGUGGGGAAUAACUCCUCGAAAGAGGAGCUAAUACCGCAUACGAUCGCGCGCUCACGGGCGUGUGAGGAAAGCAGCAAUGCGCUCGAGGAUGGGCCUGCGUCCGAUUAGCUUGUUGGUGAGGUAAAGGCNCACCAAGGCGACGAUCGGUAGCUGGUCUGAGAGGAUGAUCAGCCAGACUGGGACUGCGACACGGCCCAGACUCCUACGGGAGGCAGCAGUUAGGAAUCUUGGGCAAUGGGCGAAAGCCUGACCCAGCAACGCCGCGUGGGUGAUGAAGGCCU